rnacentral:rRNA from 1 species
UUGUAGCCUGCUAUGGUAUAACUUAGUGGCAGACGGGUGAGUAAUAUAUAGGAAUCUACCUAGUAGUACGGAAUAAUUGUUGGAAACGGCAACUAAUACCGUAUACGCCCUACGGGGGAAAAAUUUAUUGCUAUUAGAUGAGCCUAUAUUAGAUUAGCUAGUUGGUGGAGUAAUAGCCUACCAAGACAAUGAUCUAUAGCUGAUCUGAGAGGAUGAUCAGCCACACUGGAACUGAGAUACGGUCUAGACUCCUACGGGAGGCAGCAGUGGGGAAUAUUGGACAAUGGGCGAAAGCCUGAUCCAGCCAUGCCGCAUGAGUGAAGAAGGCCUUUGGGUUGUAAAGCUCUUUUAGUGAGGAAGAUAAUGACGGUACUCACAGAAGAAGUCCUGGCUAACUCCGUGCCAGCAGCCGCGGUAAUACGGAGAGGGCUAGCGUUAUUCGGAAUUAUUGGGCGUAAAGGGCGCGUAGGCUGGUUAGUAAGUUAAAAGUGAAAUCCCGAGGCUUAACCUUGGAACUGCUUUUAAAACUGCUAACCUAGAGAUUGAAAGAGGAUAGAGGAAUUCCUAGUGUAGAGGUGAAAUUCGUAAAUAUUAGGAGGAACACCAGUGGCGAAGGCGUCUAUCUGGUUCAAAUCUGACGCUGAGGCGCGAAGGCGUGGGGAGCAAACAGGAUUAGAUACCCUGGUAGUCCACGCUGUAAACGAUGAAUGUUAAAUAUGGGAAGUUUACUUUCUGUAUUACAGCUAACGCGUUAAACAUUCCGCCCGGGGACUACGGUCGCGAGAUUAAAACUCAAAGGAAUUGACGGGGACCCGCACAAGCGGUGGAGCAUGUGGUUUAAUUCGAUGCAACGCGAAAAACCUUACCACUCCUUGACAUGAAAAUCAUACCUAUUC